GUUGUAUGGUUAAGUGACUAAGCGUACACGGUGGAUGCCUUGGCAGUCAGAGGCGAUGAAGGACGUAUUAACUUGCGAUAAGCCCAGAUUAGGUAGUAAAAACCAUUUGAGUCUGGGAUUUCCGAAUGGGGAAACCCACUUACAUAAGUAAGUAUCGCUGCGUGAAUACAUAGCGCAGCGAGGCGAACCGGGGGAACUGAAACAUCUAAGUACCCCGAGGAAAAGAAAUCAACCGAGAUUCCGAAAGUAGCGGCGAGCGAAAUUGGACUAGCCCUUAAGCUUUUUAUGCGUCAGGUGAAACUUCUGGAAAGUUGUGCGAUACAGGGUGAUAGCCCCGUAACCGGCAACGCAUAUAAAGUGAAAUCGAGUAGGGCGGGACACGUGAUAUCCUGUCUGAAUAUGGGGGGACCAUCCUCCAAGGCUAAAUACUACUGACUGACCGAUAGUGAACCAGUACCGUGAGGGAAAGGCGAAAAGAACCCCUGUGAGGGGAGUGAAAUAGAACCUGAAACCGUGUACGUACAAGCAGUAGGAGCACCUUCGUGGUGUGACUGCGUACCUUUUGUAUAAUGGGUCAGCGACUUAUAUUCAGUGGCAAGGUUAACCAUCUAGGGGAGCCGUAGGGAAACCGAGUCUUAACUGGGCGUUCAGUCUCUGGAUAUAGACCCGAAACCAGGUGAUCUAGCCAUGGGCAGGUUGAAGGUUGAGUAACAUCAACUGGAGGACCGAACCGACUAAUGUUGAAAAAUUAGCGGAUGACUUGUGGCUAGGGGUGAAAGGCCAAUCAAACCUGGAGAUAGCUGGUUCUCCCCGAAAGCUAUUUAGGUAGCGCCUCGGACGAAUACUACUGGGGGUAGAGCACUGUUAAGGCUAGGGGGUCAUCCCGACUUACCAACCCUUUGCAAACUCCGAAUACCAGUAAGUACUAUCCGGGAGACACACGGCGGGUGCUAACGUCCGUCGUGGAGAGGGAAACAACCCAGACCGCCAGCUAAGGUCCCAAAUUACUACUAAGUGGGAAACGAUGUGGGAAGGCUCAGACAGCCAGGAUGUUGGCUUAGAAGCAGCCAUCAUUUAAAGAAAGCGUAAUAGCUCACUGGUCGAGUCGGCCUGCGCGGAAGAUGUAACGGGGCUAAGUAGUAAACCGAAGCUGCGGCAAUGCACUUUAGUGCAUUGGGUAGGGGAGCGUUCUGUAAGCGGUUGAAGGUGUGUGGUAACGCAUGCUGGACGUAUCAGAAGUGCGAAUGCUGACAUGAGUAACGAUAAAGGGGGUGAAAAACCUCCUCGCCGGAAGACCAAGGGUUCCUGUCCAACGUUAAUCGGGGCAGGGUAAGUCGACCCCUAAGGCGAGGCCGAAAGGCGUAGUCGAUGGGAAACGGGUUAAUAUUCCCGUACUUCUUACAAUUGCGAUGGGGGGACGGAGAAGGCUAGGUGGGCCUGGCGACGGUUGUCCAGGUUCAAGUGCGUAGGCUGAGAAAUUAGGUAAAUCCGGUUUCUCUUAAGGCUGAGACACGACGUCGAGCUACUACGGUAGUGAAGUCAUUGAUGCCAUGCUUCCAGGAAAAGCCUCUAAGCUUCAGAUUGUAAGGAAUCGUACCCCAAACCGACACAGGUGGUCGGGUAGAGAAUACCAAGGCGCUUGAGAGAACUCGGGUGAAGGAACUAGGCAAAAUGGUACCGUAACUUCGGGAGAAGGUACGCUCUCGACGGUGAAGUCCCUCGCGGAUGGAGCUAUUGAGAGUCGCAGAUACCAGGUGGCUGCAACUGUUUAUUAAAAACACAGCACUGUGCAAAAUCGUAAGAUGACGUAUACGGUGUGACGCCUGCCCGGUGCCGGAAGGUUAAUUGAUGGGGUUAGACUUCGGUCGAAGCUCUUGAUCGAAGCCCCGGUAAACGGCGGCCGUAACUAUAACGGUCCUAAGGUAGCGAAAUUCCUUGUCGGGUAAGUUCCGACCUGCACGAAUGGCGUAAUGAUGGCCACGCUGUCUCCACCCGAGACUCAGUGAAAUUGAAAUCGCUGUGAAGAUGCAGUGUACCCGCGGCUAGACGGAAAGACCCCGUGAACCUUUACUACAGCUUGGCACUGAACAUUGACCCUACAUGUGUAGGAUAGGUGGGAGGCUUUGAAACUAGUACGCCAGUAUUAGUGGAGCCGUCCUUGAAAUACCACCCUUGUAGUGUUGAUGUUCUAACGUCGACCCCUUAUCGGGGUUGCGGACAGUGCCUGGUGGGUAGUUUGACUGGGGCGGUCUCCUCCCAAAGCGUAACGGAGGAGCACGAAGGUGGGCUAAUCACGGUUGGACAUCGUGAGGUUAGUGCAAUGGCAUAAGCCCGCUUGACUGCGAGAAUGACAAUUCGAGCAGGUGCGAAAGCAGGUCAUAGUGAUCCGGUGGUUCUGAAUGGAAGGGCCAUCGCUCAACGGAUAAAAGGUACUCCGGGGAUAACAGGCUGAUACCGCCCAAGAGUUCAUAUCGACGGCGGUGUUUGGCACCUCGAUGUCGGCUCAUCACAUCCUGGGGCUGAAGUCGGUCCCAAGGGUAUGGCUGUUCGCCAUUUAAAGUGGUACGCGAGCUGGGUUUAGAACGUCGUGAGACAGUUCGGUCCCUAUCUGCCGUGGGCGUUGGAAGAUUGAAGGGGGCUGCUCCUAGUACGAGAGGACCGGAGUGGACGAACCUCUGGUGUUCGGGUUGUGUCGCCAGACGCAUUGCCCGGUAGCUAAGUUCGGAAUCGAUAACCGCUGAAAGCAUCUAAGCGGGAAGCGAGCCCUGAGAUGAGUCUUCCCUGAUACUUUAAGUAUCCUAAAGGGUUGUUCGAGACUAGAACGUUGAUAGGCAGGGUGUGUAAGCGUUGUGAGGCGUUGAGCUAACCUGUACUAAUUGCCCGUGAGGCUUAACCAUACAACACCCAAGGGGUUU
rnacentral:rRNA from 1 species